AAAGAUGGUUUCGGCUAUCACUUCGGGAUGGGCCUGCGGCGCAUUAGCUUGUUGGUGGGGUAACGGCCUACCAAGGCGAUGAUGCGUAGCCGAGUUGAGAGACUGAUCGGCCACAAUGGGACUGAGACACGGCCCAUACUCCUACGGGAGGCAGCAGUAGGGAAUCUUCCACAAUGGGCGCAAGCCUGAUGGAGCAACACCGCGUGAGUGAAGAAGGGUUUCGGCUCGUAAAGCUCUGUUGUUGAAGAAGAAUGUGCAAGAGAGUAACUGUUCNUUGUAUUGACGNUAUUCAACCAGAAA
rnacentral:rRNA from 1 species